AUUUCGGAUUCGGACCGAUUGUUAAGUGUCUCCCAAAAGCGAGUGGUGGUUGGGACGCACUACAGGACGGAUAAUCCUCAAAAUCCCUCGCUCAUACACCGCAAACUGCACAAGUAUACUUGUACGCUCCCUCUCUCUCCAGCCUGUGGCACGGAUUGUUCGGCCAGCCAUAACCGCCUACGGAUUACGGUACACGAUCAUGUU
ensembl:ncRNA R08E3.8 ncRNA